GACGAACGCUGGCGGCGUGCCUAAUACAUGCAAGUAGAACGCUGAAGCUUGGUGCUUGCACCGAGCGGAUGAGUUGCGAACGGGUGAGUAACGCGUAGGUAACCUGCCUGGUAGCGGGGGAUAACUAUUGGAAACGAUAGCUAAUACCGCAUAAGAGUAGAUGUUGCAUGACAUUUGCUUAAAAGGUGCAAUUGCAUCACUACCAGAUGGACCCGCGUUGUAUUAGCUAGUUGGUGAGGUAACGGCUCACCAAGGCAACGAUACAUAGCCGACCUGAGAGGGUGAUCGGCCACACUGGGACUGAGACACGGCCCAGACUCCUACGGGAGGCAGCAGUAGGGAAUAUUCGGCAAUGGACGGAAGUCUGACCGAGCAACGCCGCGUGAGUGAAGAAGGUUUUCGGAUCGUAAAGCUCUGUUGUAAGAGAAGAACGAGUGUGAGAGUGGAAAGUUCACACUGUGACGGUAUCUUACCAGAAAGGGACGGCUAACUACGUG
rnacentral:rRNA from 1 species